rnacentral:rRNA from 1 species
UACGGGGGGGGCAAGCGUUGUUCGGACUUACUGGGCGUAAAGGGCUCGUAGGCGGCCAACUAAGUCGGAUGUGAAAUCCCCAGGCUUAACCUGGGAACUGCAUCCGAUACUGGAUGGCUUGAAUCCGGGAGAGGGAUGCAGAAUUCCAGGUGUAGCGGUGAAAUGCGUAGAUAUCUGGAGGAAUACCGGUGGCGAAGGCGGCAUCCUGGACCGGCACUGACGCUGAUGAGCGAAAGCUAGGGGAGCAAACGGG